GGUUUUUGCCGCCGGCCGGUUCGAUGCGUCGUUGUAGGCGACCCCAAAGUUGAACUUGCUGUAGACGGUGUCGAGUUCGAUGCCCGUUAGAAGUUG
rnacentral:tRNA from 1 species